rnacentral:rRNA from 1 species
GAUGAACGCUAGCUACAGGCUUAACACAUGCAAGUCGCGGGGCAGCAUGGGGGUUGCUUGCAAUCCCCGAUGGCGACCGGCGCACGGGUGAGUAACGCGUAUCCAACCUGCCCUUCACCACGGGAUAACCCGGCGAAAGUCGGACUAAUACCGUAUGUUGUCCAUUGACGGCAUCCGAUUUGGACGAAAGGUUUGGCGGUGAAGGAUGGGGAUGCGUCCGAUUAGCUGGACGGCGGGGUGACGGCCCACCGUGGCGACGAUCGGUAGGGGUUCUGAGAGGAAGGUCCCCCACACUGGAACUGAGACACGGUCCAGACUCCUACGGGAGGUAGCAGUGAGGAAUAUUGGUCAAUGGGCGUAAGCCUGAACCAGCCAAGUAGCGUGCAGGAUGACGGCCCUAUGGGUUGUAAACUGCUUUUAUGCGGGGAUAAAGUGGCCCACGUGUGGGUUUUUGCAGGUACCGCAUGAAUAAGGACCGGCUAAUUCCGUG